rnacentral:lncRNA from 1 species
CUAGAAACUCUUAAUCAAUACCAAAGGCAAGGACUUAAAUCUGCAUUUUAUUGUGCUAGUCUGGUAACCUCCUGUAACUGACUUCCCUCCCCCUCCCAACUUUGGCAUUUCUUUAAGAAUUAAGCAUCUUUCUUUAGGCUAGGAACUGAUUGCUGCGCUCACCUGUGACCGCCCAGCUCCAGACAAUAGACUUGCCUCCAGCUACGCCCUCUGAGACAGCAGACCACUACCUGCUGUGUCCAUCAAGCACUGUGCUGACAGGGCAAUCUUGUGACUAUUGUGGGAGGGACAUUUCAAUCACAUGUGAAACACCCUGUUUGGGGGUAUAUAACCACUAUGUGCACCCCACUUCUUAGGUGCCCUUUCUUCCUUUGGGAAGAAAGGCCCCGGGCCAUGGUUCUUCAUAAAGCUUUGUUUAAUUUUCUCUUGCUAUUCUGUCUCAUGUGAAUUUAAUUCGUUCUCCGGUCAGACGAACCCCCCAUUUUGGGGAGAGGAAUGUCCUCCUCCCCUACAACGCGCAAUGAGAUCUUCUCUACUUCUAGCAACUGAAUCCUGAAGUCACGCCUUCAUUAGAAGAAAGAGAAUGCCUUGGGGGAGGUUGCAAUCACAGGAUGGCCAGCCCCCAGCAGCUGUUGAUGCCCAGAAAUCAGAUUGCCCAGGGGCUUAUCGGGAGUGACCCCUUUGUUUCCCUGAAGCUCCUCCUGCCAAGCCCCUUUGCUCCAGGAAACCUCCCUGCUUUCUGUUCUUGUGAAGGCGGAUUUGAACGACCCCAUGCUCCCACCUUCUCAUUUUGGCCAAUUCGAAUAAAACCUUUCUCCAUCUCAAAGCACCAAUGUUUCAGUGUUUGGCUUACUGUACAUUGGGCACACAAACUUGAGAUUAAGCACUUUGGUAUCAGGGUGGCAAAAUCAGAUUGCAUAGGUAAGGAUAUAGCUGAUUAUGCAGGACUUCAUAAGUCAAGUAAAGAAUUUAGAUAUUCCCGAUAUUAGUGGGAGCAUAUCGCUGGGGUUCAUACAAAGGAAAUAACAUGAUCAGGUUUUAUCUUACGAAGAUCUCACUGACUCCUUAAUUUUGCAUCCAAUCUGCAUGGAUAGAUGCAACUUUGUACCUAAAGGUAUUUGACUUUGAGUCACUCAAACUAGGUCACAGAUGUCAUUGUCAUCCUAUCUUCUUUCCAUGUCCCUCCUCCCAGUUAGCAUCUAGUAGUCAGGCAGCAUUGAUUCACUGAUUCUUCCCUCAUCUCUUAAAAUCCACUGUAUACCCAAUAUAGCACCAAGGACAUGAAG